CAAAAUUAGGCAUAGACUGAUCUGGAUAGAGACAUUUCUUCAUAAAUCACCUUAAGAAAUAUAUUUAAAGAAUCUUAAAGUCUACAUGGAGAGAAAGAGAGGAAUUAUCACUGAGAAAAUUAAAAUAGAAGAAGCUUGCCAGGUUUCCAGGGUUUCCAAAAGAGUAAUAUGAACAUCCGGCUUGCAAGACUAUAGAUGAAGAAUUUGCAGCUAUUUCUUCAAAAACAGAACAGCCAUGCAAGAUAGAAAUAUAACCCUACAGGAGGGGGCACACAAGAAGGAAGACAUCUAAUCUCCUGAUCUGUCUGGACUGACUUAUCUCUGGGACCUCCUGCCAUUUUUUCUCUCCAACCAAGCUACUGCUGCAGAGAUCAACUUUGUGUGGGUUCAGAACAAUUUUACACAGGGACACGCGAACAACUGUAUUCAUGUUUGAAACAAACCAUGAAGUUUCAAGCCUUCACUGAGUGCUUUUUGCCUCACACUCCAUGGCUUCCCUUUUGUAAUUGAAGCACGACAUGUCACAGGAAAUGAUUGUUGCCUCUGAAGUGCAACCAAGAAUGUGGGGAAGGUUAGGCCCAUCCUUAGAGGACAAGAGUACAAAUGGAUGCGUCAUUCCACACAUCUAAAGGUACUAAAUACUAAGAACUGAAAAUUAACCUAACAAGCUCUUAAAUAUGUUCCAUCAUCCUACCUUAAUAACAAUGUGAAGGACAAUUUGAAAUAAAAAUGUUCAGACUCUUUGUUGUUUUGUACAUGUAUCAGUUACCUAUUGCUUUGUAACAAAUUAGUUCAAAAUUUGGAAAUGUGUCAAAGAAUUUCUAGAUUUCUGAAUUUUAAGCCACCACAGCAUAAAAACAUAUUACACUGUCCAGGGCUUAUGAGCCCACUUGCAUUCCCUCUCUACCAUUGAUUAGCUCAGCAGCUUUGCACUGUGAGUGG
rnacentral:lncRNA from 1 species